rnacentral:rRNA from 1 species
AGGGCACCACCGGGAGUGGAGCCUGCGGCUUAAUUUGACUCAACACGGGAAAACUCACCCGGCCCGGACACUGUAAGGAUUGACAGACUGAGAGCUCUUUCUUAAUUCAGUGGGUGGUGGUGCAUGGCCGUUCUUAGUUGGUGGAGCGAUUUGUCUGGUUAAUUCCGAUAACGAACGAGACUCUGGCCUAUUAAAUAGACGAGGUAUUUAAAUGUACCUCGCGCUUCUUAGAGGGACAAGCGGCGUCUAGUCGCAUGAAAAAGAGCAAUAACAGGUCUGUGAUGCCCUUAGAUGUCCGGGGCUGCACGCGCGCUACACUGAAAGAAUCAGCGUGCAUUUAAACCUAGUCCGGAAGGACCGGGUAACCCAAGUAAAUUCUUUCGUGCUUGGGAUAGGGAAUUGCAAUUAUUUCCCUUAAACGAGGAAUUCCCAGUAAAUGCGGGUCAUAAGCUCGCGUUGAUUACGUCCCUGCCCUUUGUACACACCGCCCGUCGCUACUACCGAUUGGAUGACUUAGUG